rnacentral:rRNA from 1 species
CAGUCCCGCGGGAACACGUAGGGUGCAAGCGUUAAUCGGAAUUACUGGGCGUAAAGCGUGCGCAGGCGGUUAUAUAAGACAGAUGUGAAAUCCCCGGGCUCAACCUGGGAACUGCAUUUGUGACUGUAUAGCUAGAGUACGGCAGAGGGGGAUGGAAUUCCGCGUGUAGCAGUGAAAUGCGUAGAUAUGCGGAGGAACACCGAUGGCGAAGGCAAUCCCCUGGGCCUGUACUGACGCUCAUGCACGAAAGCGUGGGGAGCAAACAGGAUUAGAUACCCGCGUAGUCCCUGUCUCUUAUACA